CUACGAGUUGCAGCAGUAAGGAAUAUUGCGCAAUGGAGGCAACUCUGACGCAGCCAUGCCGCGUGCAGGAAGAAGGCCUUAUGGGUCGUAAACUGCUUUUAUUUAGGAAUAAACCCCCGAACGUGUUCGGGGCUGAAGGUACUAAACGAAUAAGCACCGGCUAACUCCGUGCACAGCAGCCGCGGUAAUACGGAGGGUGCAAGCGUUAUCCGGAUUUAUUGGGUUUAAAGGGUGUGCAGGCGGGCUAUUAAGUCAGUGGUGAAAUCCCGGGGCUCAACUCCGGAACUGCCAUUGAUACUGAUAGUCUUGAGUUUGGUUGAAGUGGGCGGAAUGUAGCAUGUAGCGGUGAAAUGCAUAGAUAUGCUACAGAACACCAAUCGCGAAGGCAGCUCACUAAGCCAAAACUGACGCUCAUGCACGAAAGCGUGGGGAUCAAACAGGAUUAGAUACCCCCGUAGUC
rnacentral:rRNA from 1 species